GUGCUCGCUUCGGCAGCACAUAUACUAAAAUCGGAAUGGUACAGACAAGAUUGGCAUGGCCCCUGCACAAGGAUGACAUGCAAAUUAGUGAAGGGUUCCAUGUUUUU
ensembl:snRNA U6 U6 spliceosomal RNA